GAGUCUUUUGGUGAGAGGAAUGAUAAUCCUUCUAGCAGCACUUCAUGAACGGAAAUCAUUCUCUAGGAUGAUGAUGACAUGCCAGUUCUUGGUAUAUGGACAUGAGUCCUGAGAUCCCACACAUGGAUACAUGAAAGGACUGCACACUGUGCUGAAGAUUGGGGAGAAGAUACCCUUGAGUGAAAGGUGGAACCUUUUUUUCCUAAUGGCUGCCUUGAGUGUUUCCUCCAUAGAUCUUUUUCCCUGUCUUGAAAACAUAUCCUUGGCGUGCUGGGCUGUAAAUCCUUGAAGGAAUAGCAUGGUCUAGGUGGAAGUUGGUCGGCUUUGUCCUUUUUCCAUGAGCCAAGACUGAAGAAUUACUGAAAUGUUGUAACUAUCAAUCGGCAACAAAGAAUUUGGUCUUGCUAGAAUCUGCUUGAGAAAUGGCACUGCUCCAUUUUCCCACUUCAUCAAACCUCCAAAGGCAUCCCAAACUCACCCAUGGCUUACCUCCAUGGUAAGGGGUGAACAGACUUAUGGAAGCUCCAAACUGCACAGGACCCCUGGGCAGAGCCCUCCUAUUCCUACAGGAGAUCUCCAGCCUCACUGUGGAGAGAAAGAGAGAGGCUGAGGGAAGCAUCUGGUGGAAAUGAAAUCUGAGCAAUGAAACACUGAGGAAGAUAUUGCAUUGAAUGGGAGGCCAGCAGGGUACCUGGUGCCCUUUUAGCACCCACCUGCAACACUCCACUCACUUCUAUGCUUUUCCUCAUGAAGAAUUUGCUGCACAAUGACCAAGGUGAGUCUAACAGCUUUCCAAAAUCCCAGAUCUGUUGGAGAUUUUAUCCAUUCCAUUCUUGGAAGUUGAGGAUCCCAAGCAUUUUCCAAAACUGAUUGAUGUCACCUCUCAUAAAUCCAGCACCUCCUGAGAUCAGGAUUCAGUCCCUGUGGUGCCCAGCUGCUCAUUUUUGCCCAGACAUUCUUCAGGUCUCCAUCAUUUGUCUCAAAUUCCAUGGGAAAGGGACUGGGGAAGGUAACUCCCAUGCUUCACAUAUGAGGCUUGGAUACCCAAAGACACAGUGAGUUUUCACCAAAUGUUCCUCAGAGAACAACUCAGUCUGAGAAAUCCUCCCACAAAUCCUGCACUUAUGCACGUGAUCAGCCCUGCCAAUCCACUGCAGACUGCAAACAGCCUCUGACAGGAUUCCAAACAGUUAAUGUCAAAUAGCUCAUUUUCUCUCAUCUCCAUACAAAUUCCUGUCAUGUUGCAUUACAUGUAAACAUCUGAGAAGCUUAAUGGCAUGCCUUUCAGUCAAAAAUUCAUAUGGCUUUUCAGUCUGAGCAGAUUAAUUGCAGUUUGUAACAAUAUGAAGUAAUUCAAUUUGAUUAGAGUUUCUAUUGUUCUUUGAGAUAAAAUAUUUUAUGUGAAUGUAAAGCCAAGUUUUCUGCUGGCACAACUUUAUUGACUUCUGUGGAAAUAUAAAAUACUCAUCUAAAAUCCAUAGUAUAUCAUUGUUGGUGUGCUGUUACAGUAAAUAAAUUUUAUAAGCUUCUGUAAAUUCUAUGUGCCAGAUCAGAUUCCAGGCCCCAUGGAAAUGUCAUUGUCAAUUAAGUGAGGCAGUAGGAAUAUUUGGCUUUGGAGGAGACAAUUCUGAAUGAGUCUUUUAGGAUUUUAUAAUUUUGAAGUGUUUUUCUAUUUCCAUUUUUUCAGCAUCCCUGUCUUCUUUUUGAUGUCUUGCUCUUAAAAUCUGCUUGUAAUUCUCUUUAGUUUCAUUUCUAUGUACUCUAGGGCUGUUUCUCUGUUCUUGCUAUGGACAUUGCUCUGGUGUUUUGUAGUCAUCCCACAGACCCAAGCCCAGAAGCCCUGCAACACAAGUUCUGCUUGCUGCCAAUAGGGAUAAUGUGAGGAACUUGCAUGAAACCUCUGCUUCCUACAACUGUCAGCUUAUGUCACCUUCUGAAAAUUAUGCAUGACUUCUGGGACUCAUCUAUCAAAAGGAGAGAGCCCACAACACUCUGAGAAGUUGGUACCUUCUCUCUAGUUAUCUGGGUUGAUGGUUGUUCAGUGAACCUAUUAACUGCCUGGGGUGACUUGCAUCUUUACAGGUAUGGGACUGUAUUGUCUUUCUUUGCUUUGCUUAAAUGGCAGAUGCUACCCCUGUGUAGUGUCCUGGUUUAACUUUAUCUCUGGCCUGGUGGUUCCAAGUGCAGCUGGCUAUGUUCUCAUUGGACAGUAGACCCUUCAUGUGCCUGCAGAAGUAAUGGCUGUAGGAAUGUUUUAUCUUCCCCUUAUCUCACAUUCUCUGAAAACUGUCUCAGUUCAAGGUUAAUGCCUUUCAGUGGAGCACUUAAAUACACACUUAGCUCUAAGCACUUAAUUCCUACAGUUUCAUGGCAUAGGGAUGGAUUUCAGUGCCUACUCAUAGUCCAUGGCUUGCCAGCACUUCAACAGUCUCUUUUUCAGUGGCCAGAUAAAAGUGAGGAGCCAGCCCUGGCAGUCCUGUGCCUGGGGGUAUGGUUUGCUUUCUGGUAGUGAUGGACAAUGCCAUUCAAGUCUUUCAUGAUAAUCCCACAUGGAGAUUGAUGGGGCUUGAGGUCCAGCUGCUAACUGACGAUUAAGGAAAGGUGCUCUCCAGAAACCUAGGUCAGACCUAUAGGGAAAUAGAAGAGGGAAAGAUUCCCCUACUUUCUCUAGUUGUGGCUACUGGUAGCACCAUGCUCUCUGCUAGACCAGGUCACCCCACAGCACAGUAGGUGUCAAGCCUUUAUGUUGUGGUCAUAAUAUAUCAAUCUGCCAGCACAUCUCUUCCAAAUCCUAUGCCACCAUCUCUCUCUAGUCACCCACACCCACUCUUCUCUGCUGUGUCUCCUCCCAGGACCAGGUCACCCUUAAAAGUAUGUUUAAGGACAGCUCAGAAAGGGAAAAGAGAGGGAAGGCAGGGAAGGCAUAAUUCAUCUUGUUUAUGAUGUGACUGAACUAACAAAGUCUGAGCACCUUGUCCACACUGGGAUAAGGUCAUAAGAAAUAACUGAUCACAAGGAUAAGAGAAAAAUAAAUACGCCAUAUUCAUCUGAAUAGUAGAAAUAAUCUUUGUGGGUGAUGCCAAAAUGUAAUGGGAUGUGUUGAAGUGUGGCCAGUGAUAGGUUCCAGAUUUUCACUCCGGUUACAACAGAGGGAAGUUCAGAAGCUGUACCUGUCCUGGGAGGAGGGGUUGUAAAGGGUUGUGAGGUAGUAUGUAAUAAUCAGUAUCAAACUGAGACUUUUCAGAGAGUUUUUAGCUGGAAUAUGGAAAUAUCUUUGGAAGCUUAAUAAUGAUUUAAUUUUAUUGGAAUUUGUAUGCGUUAACAUUUUUUAUUUUAUGGCAAUGCAGAAGGAGUUUGGCUUAAGACUAGCUGCCACUGGCUUCCCAAGAAUUAUAAAGCCAAGCCAAUAAAUGACCUUGAUCAGAUGGCACACCUCUCUCUUGUCCCUCUGUGGUCCUGUUGCAGUCAGUUACCAGCCCAAGCAGCUGCUGGGGCAAAGUGAACUGCCAUCUCCAAUUGGCAGAGCUGUGACCAGCUUUAUUUAUAAAGGCUUGUGAUAGAGCACAUUCUGCUCUCAUUUAUACCAG